CCUACGGGUGGCAGCAGUAGGGAAUAUUGCUCAAUGGGGGAAACCCUGAAGCAGCAACGCCGCGUGGAGGAUGAAGGUUUUCGGAUUGUAAACUCCUUUUGGUAGGGAAGAUAAUGACGGUAUCUAACGAAUAAGCACCGGCUAACUCCGUGCCAGCAGCCGCGGUAAUACGUAGGGGGCAAGCGUUACUCGGAAUUACUGGGCGUAAAGGGCGCGUAGGCGGGAUAGCAAGCCAGAUGUGAAAUCCUAUGGCCUAACCAUAGAACUGCAUUUGAAACUGUUAGUCUAGAGUAUGGGAGGGGUAGGUGGAAUUCUUGGUGUAGGGGUAAAAUCCGUAGAGAUCAAGAGGAAUACUGAUUGCGAAGGCGACCUGCUAGAACAUAACUGACGCUGAGGCGCGAAAGCGUGGGGAGCAAACAGGAUUAGAUACCCGGGUAGUC
rnacentral:rRNA from 1 species